rnacentral:lncRNA from 10 species
GACGGGCCAGCUCUAGGCCAGGCCAACCUACCCAAGCCCCACCUCCUAGACCGUCCCACCCAUCCCCGCCUCCAGGCCCUGGGAGCUGGACUGAGGACCAGGCCCUAAGAAGGUGCCUCCCGCACAACCACAGGCCCAGGCGGGCCACGGAAGACGCUGCCCGGGCCCUGCGGAGGGCUGGGGCUGGGGCUGGGGCUGGGGCUGGGGCCGGGGCCGGGGCCGGGGCCGGGGUUGGGGUUGGGGUUGGGGCUGGGGCCGGGGCCGGGGCCGGGGCCGGGGCCACAGACUUCACUGCUGGACAUGAAUAAAGUCCACGGUCGUGGUCCUGCCUGUGUCUGUGCUCAGGGCCUGAG